AUCAUGCAGAGUACUCUGACAUAUAAAUUAUGACCAGCAUUAAAAAGAAAUCAACUUUCCAGGGAGCUUGAGUAAUAAUAGAGCAUGUAAAUUUGCAGCACAUCACUGAAGGUAUAACUCACACUGAAUAAGCCAAAAUACAGUGCUACAAACAAACUACUAACCAAACACGUUAGUAAAAAAGAAGUAAAUCACAUAGAGUAGGCUCUCAGCCGCACCCCUGCCCCCUUUCUCCCACAAGCACGCACACAAACAACAUUAUGACAAUUUCACACAAAAUAAAAAAACUAAACAGUUAGUGAACUCAGUCAUACAAGUGAAACAAAAUUACUAUGUUGCACCAACAACAGAGAAGCAACAAAAAUAGAAUAUAAUUGAAACAAAACCAAUUGCUCGUAACUCAGUCACCAGUUGUUCAAGGAAGAUGAGAACAACAAAUUCAAACAAUCAUCCAUAGAGUCGGAACAUAAAGAUCACUAAGGGACAAUCCUCACCUUUCAUAUCCAGCUCGAUCCACUUGUCCCAUCUCAUCACUGUCUCAUUGAACUCCCUGCGUUUCACUAUAAUACAUGACAAAAAACAAUAGACUAGGCACACAGUUAAUGCAAAGGUGAUUAGAUAACAUAUAGGCAAAGCCUUGCACAUAAGGUCAUCUACAUUUAAGCUAUGAAAAAACGUAUGCAGUUCAUCGUUUACACAGGAAAAAACAUCCAAACAUAAUGGCCAUCACAUAUAUACCAAUAAUAAUCUAGUUCAUAUACAUCCGAUGGUGCAGUAGCAAAAUAAGAUACAAAUGCAGUUCUCUUGUAUGU
rnacentral:lncRNA from 1 species